rnacentral:snoRNA from 1 species
UCUCAGUGAUGGAAUCCCAAUAGAUCCUUCUGACCCUCCACUGUGGACUCAAUAGCAGGGAGAUGAAGAGGAACUUGGCUGAGAGA